UUACUAACAAUACCACUGGGUAUGCACUUCUUGCCUUCCACUCCAGAUCCGGUGAGCCCACCCUGGAAGAGGAACUGUUAGUUUUCACUGCCAUCCCUGUCCUGUUAGCAUUACCCACCUUAUCAAGCUGGAAAGGAAAAUGGAAAUAGCCCCAGUGGAGAAAGAAAUGAAGGGGCUUACGGAAGGACUCUCACGCAGCUGAGCAAGUAUCCAGAGUGGCGGUGGGAUUACUUUAAGAAUGUGUCUGUUCCUUUCCCGCAAGAUGCUGUCCCUACUGAAGAGCUAACUCAUGUUUAGCAUGAGCUAAGUACAUUGGCCCCAAUUCCUAUUGCCAGUGAUUGGUUUAGGAUGGGCAUAUGACUCAGUUCUGGACAAUAUGAUAAGAGAAGGGCUGGAGGGCUUUUGGAAAAUAUUCCUCCCUAAAUGGUAUCUCCUACAUUGGAAAGAACUGAUGUACAAUGACAAAUAUGUAAUGUCUAGAUCAGUGAUGAGAGCCACUUUCUAGAUGUCCUACCUAAUAAAAGCAAUUUAUCUUCUUCAAGUCA